rnacentral:lncRNA from 1 species
AGAUGGUGCUUUCAGCUGAUUAACAGGAGACCAGGCCCAGGGGUACCAGGCAGACAGAGAACAUGGAGAUCGGAAGCCAGGAUUAUGAUGAUUUCCUGCAUCACAUCUUUGUAGAAAUUCUGAGAAGGAUCCAGCCAAGCCCACUUCUGUUGGGUGAAGGUCACAGUCACAACUUCAAAGGCAACUAAGUUCGUAUUCCAACUUCCUGGGUGUCCUGGCAUCCUCCCCAUGCAUGUCCCAGUACCUGCAGGUCACAGAGUGAUAAAGGCUGUGGCAGAACUCCCUGGGCCUCCUACAGUGAAGAAGAAGGAGCAGCGAAGACUGACUGAGCAGUGGACAUGUGGGCAUGAAAGACCUGAGUAGAUUUAUUUAUUGAAAUAAAACCGUGCAGUUCAUCGAAUCAAAGUCCUGAACACAGAAAACAAGGCAGGAAGACAUCACAGAGCACAGUCAGGUAGGUUUACCCAAGCUUGUUCAUGGUCUUCUUAUAACUAUGAUUGCCAAUCAUAGUAUCCAUAAACUCCUAAGAGCACAGAUGCCACUGUGAAUAAGCUUUGUCUUCUAUGCUUUGUUUUCUCCCAUGUGGAUUUAUAGUCUUAAGUAGGAAUGUUCAGUUGGCCAAUCCUAGAUCUCAUGCUUAUCCUCUAACUUCCAGAUGUCAGAAAAUGAGCAUUUCUAGUCUCAAAUGACUUCUGUCACCUUUGACUAUUACCAAGACUCAUGUACUAGAGGUUUCAGUAAAAGCCAGGUUACUAUGUGGAUACUGGAGUAUUAAAAAAUAACAUAUUUUCACUAUGGCCAGUCAUUUUUUCAGACUCUGUAUUGAAUGCUCCAGACAUAAUAAUAAAUUUUUUUUCCCUGCUUGUAAGAAUCUCGUACUGUGAUAAUUAAAGAUCUCAGAAAUUAGUGAUUUAUAUUAUUUUAUUACACAGGACAUAGCCACUAGACCAGCUGCAGGCACCACUGGGAGACAGGCUAGUUGGUACCAGAAAGCUUCCUGGAGCACUGAAACUUAGGAAGGAUUAACAGAAGUUAGCCAGUGAUGGAAAUGUUGAAGACAUAUGAUCUAUGCUAAUGGGUGAGCAUGAUUGAAGUUUUAGGGGAAGCAGAAAAAGUAUCUCAUUCUGUAAGUUUAAGAUGUUCAGAGCAAAUAGUUUUGCAGACAGUAACAUGCAUUUUUCCUGGAGAGGUACCAUACCAAGAACAGUGCCGUAUGCCAUACUAAGAUGUUUAGACAUUAUCUUGAGGGAAUGGGAAGAGGAGGACAGAGGGUGGCUUUGAGGGAUUUUAAUCAGGACAGGGGAGUAAUUUUAUUUGGUCUUUGGAAAAAAAUACUCUGGGUUAUACUAAACAUUAUGAAUUUAAGGCUGGGGGAAGGGGACAAGUUAGGAGGGU